rnacentral:rRNA from 1 species
UACGGAGGAUCCGAGCGUUAUCCGGAUUUAUUGGGUUUAAAGGGUGCGCAGGCGGGAGAUUAAGUCGGCGGUGAAAUUUUGCAGCUCAACUGUAAAAUUAGCCGCUGAAACUGCCGGUCUUGAGUGCAAAUGAGGUAGGCGGAAUGCGUCGUGUAGCGGUGAAAUGCUUAGAUAUGACGCAGAACUCCGAUUGCGAAGGCAGCUUACUGGGAUGCAACUGACGCUGAGGCACGAAAGCGUGGGUAUCAAACAGGAUUAGA